rnacentral:rRNA from 1 species
GCAUUAGACUCGCAUGGACGAAGUCUGACGGAGCACGCCGCGUGAGUGAUGAAGGUUUUCGGAUCGUAAAGCUCUGUUGUUAGGGAAGAACAAGUGCAAGAGUAACUGCUUGCACCUUGACGGUACCUAACCAGAAAGCCACGGCUAACUACGUGCCAGCAGCCGCGGUAAUACGUAGGUGGCAAGCGUUGUCCGGAAUUAUUGGGCGUAAAGGGCUCGCAGGCGGUUUCUUAAGUCUGAUGUGAAAGCCCCCGGCUCAACCGGGGAGGGUCAUUGGAAACUGGGAAACUUGAGUGCAGAAGAGGAGAGUGGAAUUCCACGUGUAGCGGUGAAAUGCGUAGAGAUGUGGAGGAACACCAGUGGCGAAGGCGACUCUCUGGUCUGUAACUGACGCUGAGGAGCGAAAGCGUGGGGAGCGAACAGGAUUAGAUACCCUGGUAGUCCACGCCGUAAACGAUGAGUGCUAAGUGUUAGGGGGUUUCCGCCCCUUAGUGCUGCAGCUAACGCAUUAAGCACUCCGCCUGGGGAGUACGGUCGCAAGACUGAAACUCAAAGGAAUUGACGGGGGCCCGCACAAGCGGUGGAGCAUGUGGUUUAAUUCGAAGCAACGCGAAGAACCUUACCAGGUCUUGACAUCCUCUGACAACCCUAGAGAUAGGGCUUUCCCUUCGGGGACAGAGUGACAGGUGGUGCAUGGUUGUCGUCAGCUCGUGUCGUGAGAUGUUGGGUUAAGUCCCGCAACGAGCGCAACCCUUGAUCUUAGUUGCCAGCAUUCAGUUGGGCACUCUAAGGUGACUGCCGGUGACAAACCGGAGGAAGGUGGGGAUGACGUCAAAUCAUCAUGCCCCUUAUGACCUGGGCUACACACGUGCUACAAUGGACAGAACAAAGGGCUGCGAGACCGCAAGGUUUAGCCAAUCCCACAAAUCUGUUCUCAGUUCGGAUCGCAGUCUGCAACUCGACUGCGUGAAGCUGGAAUCGCUAGUAAUCGCGGAUCAGCAUGCCGCGGUGAUACGUUCCCGGGCCUUGUACACACCGCCCGUCACACACGAGAGUUUGCAACACC